GAUGAAGAACGUAGCGAAAUGCGAUAAGUAAUGUGAAUUGCAGAAUUCAGUGAAUCAUCGAAUCUUUGAACGCACAUUGCGCCCGCCAGUAUUCUGGCGGGCAUGCCUGUUCGAGCGUCAUUUCAACCAUCAAGCCCCAGGCUUGUGUUGGGGACCUGCGGCUGCCGCAGGCCCUGAAAACCAGUGGCGGGCUCGCUGUCACACCGGGCGUAGUAGAUUUUAUCUCGCUCAGGGCGUGCUGCGGGUUCCGGUCGUUAAAAAGCCUUUUUUACCCAAGGUUGACCUCGGAUCAGGUAGGAAGACCCGCUGAACUUAAGCAUAUCAAUAGGCGGAGGA
rnacentral:misc_RNA from 1 species